CUGAAGUCAAGCUGGACUACCCGCUGAACUUAAGCAUAU
rnacentral:rRNA from 1 species